CGAGUGGCGGACGAGUGAGUAAUGCUUGGGAAUCUGGCUUAUGGAGGGGGAUAACUACGGGAAACUGUAGCUAAUACCGCGUAAAAUCUUCGGAUUAAAGGGUGGGACUUUCGGGCCACCUGCCAUAAGAUGAGCCCAAGUGGGAUUAGGUAGUUGGUUAGGUAAAGGCUGACCAAGCCGACGAUCUCUAGCUGGUCUGAGAGGAUGACCAGCCACACUGGAACUGAGACACGGUCCAG
rnacentral:rRNA from 1 species